rnacentral:rRNA from 1 species
UAGGCGCACGGGUGAGUAACACGUGACUAACCUACCCUCGAGUGGGGAAUAACCUAGAGAAAUCUGGGCUAAUACCGCAUAACACUUACGAGUCAAAGCAGCAAUGCGCUUGAGGAGGGGGUCGCGGCAGAUUAGCUAGUUGGCGGGGUAAUGGCCCACCAAGGCGAUGAUCUGUAUCCGGCCUGAGAGGGCGCACGGACACACUGGAACUGAAACACGGUCCAG